GAAAGUUUGGCGGAAACGCCCUACCUUCAAACCACUGUGAAACCACCACGUUGCUUCGGCGGCUUCCUGACCCCUCCGGGGGUCCGGCUGUCAGCCCGCCAGAGGCCCAAAACCAAACCAUUUUCUGUAACUGUCUGUCUGAUACAAUAAAUCUUAAAUUUAUUA
rnacentral:misc_RNA from 1 species